AGGUGCUAUAUUUGUUAGUAUAAUAAAUAGUGCAAGACUACAUAAAUAUACACACAAAUUUAAGCCUUUCAAAGGUAUCAAUAUUGUAUAGUAAUGUUUGUUAUUUCCUUACAGUGCAAGGUUAUCAUGUCCUGUGGACUGACACUUAAGCUCUUGAUUUUAUCAUUUUAUUGCACAUACUGUGAUAUUGAAUUAGCAGAUUAGUAAAUUAAUAUUAUUGUGGUUUUAUAUUGCAUUUUUCAAGUUACCAGGGAAUUGGAGUCUGUCAAAGUAUUGUAACAGCUUCAAUUGAAGAUCCUAAUGGUUAUAAGUUUGAGAAGAAUUACUUGCGAACCUUAUGCAAAGUGAUGCUUCGAUUGAAGAUCCUAAUGGUUAUAAGUUUGAAGACACCAAGAUUUUACAUGUUGAACGAAGGAAUGCUCUUUCUUUGAUAUAAUUUGACCUGCUCAAAAUUCUUCUUUUAAUGGAAAUGGACACAAGAUAGAGGAAGCGGGAUAUUAUGUGUUGUUAUAUCUCUUAGUAUUGUUAUAUCUUAGUGUUUUAGAGGCAUCUUGGCUGUAUGUUGUAGUUUUUGUAUUGUUAUAUCUUAGUAUCACUGACGACCCUUGCAAGCGUAGUAGUGAUAAUUUAGUCUUGGUUAUGUUUUGGAUUGAUUAUGUAUUUUUGGAUAAGUAGAUGGUAAUACUUAAAUAUAAAUAUAAAUAUAAAUAUAUUAUGUUCA